rnacentral:lncRNA from 1 species
UUUUGCUCGAGCAGCCGUGACAAGGAGCAUAACAAAAAAGCUCUAAAAAACCAGCAACCAUAGCCAUUUUUUUUUCUUCUGAUUUGAAAACCUAUCAAAGUCCUAAGUCUUCUUCUUCCUCGACUGAAUUGCACCACCACCGAAAAUGGCCGGAAACUGAUGACGGAAGUUUGUUUGACAAUGGAGUUCGUUUAAUGCUCGUGGAUAUUCGUUUGAUGUAGCUAGUUCUGUUUGUUGGAUCUGUUCAGUUUCGUCGAGGUUCGAGCUUUGGUCCGAUAAAGAUUCUGUUCGGAUUUCUUGUACGCCGGAUCGGGUUGGUCAUUCAUUGAAAGGUUCCGUUUCUUUAUUCUUAUUUUCUGUUGCUUGCGUUUCCAUGAAGUUUUACAUUGAAAGGUUAAUUUGUAAAUGUUUUACAUUGAAGUGAUGUUUUGUUGCACCCUGAUUUGUUUGGAUUUGUUGGAUAUGUUCAUGAGGAUCACAUAUCUGUGCUCAUU